AUGGGGUACUCCAUUGGACAAAUUAAGAGCCCUAUAAAGACAAGCUGUUGGAAGGCAGAGGAGAGAGAACCAGCACAGAAGGGAGAGAACCAGCGCAGAAGGGAGAGAACCAGCGCAGAGAAACCAAACAGGCGCUGCGGAGAGUUUGGAGUGGACGGCCGUGAACCAGCCAACCUACCAGACUGUCAGAGAGAGAAAGACGGGGAUCAAGAGAUGGAGGAAAGGAAGGGAAAAGCUGGCCAGAGGCCAGGAGCGAGCAGCGUGGGGGAGCUGAUGCUGCUGCAAGAGAGAGAGCGAGAAGGAGAGUAGCCAGUGUGGUGGAGCGAACUGCAAUGAUUAAAAAGGGAAAGUAUAUGGGAUUAAUUUGCACAGUACCUGUGGUGAAUGACUGCUUAGCAACUAAUCUGGCCAGUGUGGUAACAACAUUGUUGGGUUUGAUUCGGGACACUAAUUUACGCUGUGCAGUGGCACAAGCUUUAAUUGUGCUUGUUUUAAGCUCCUCUUUGUGUUCGCUGACGGGGGAGAAGACGAGAAGACAGGGGAGUAGACCAGCCCUACGAGAGGGGGGCGGCACGGAAAAGAAGCGGUGCGCUGCACCUCAACGCUGGGCUAAAUGCCUCCUAAGCUAAGUAUCAGUGGCUUGCUGGAAAGGCAGACUAACUGAGGCUUUAGCCAAAUAGAGGUGCAGCAUGUACAUAAUUUAUUAGAUGCAUUGCACCAGGCCGUACCUACCUGCAUUGAAGGCUGUGUUGUGUUCCAAUUCUUUGCAGAGAGGCCGCGCCAUGAGGGGGAGCUGGAUCAGCUGGGACAGGCUGCAACGCGAGAGGAGGAGCCAUCGAAUACUACAGGAGACACAACAAAGCCAGCCAUGAUAGGGCUGUGAGGAGGAGAAGAAAGUGGAAUUGUGCGGGACUGACACAACAAAGUCAACCACGAUAGGGCUGUGAGGAGGAGAAGAAAGUGGAAUUGUGCGGGACUGAUUUUCUAGACUUCUUGUCAGAGUUGUUUUAGGAAUAAAGAUUCAAUGGAUUGGCAGAACUCUUUGCCUUUUUUUAACUCCUACUGAACGUAAAUGCUCACAGCUUUGCAGAGCAGAAUUAUCCUUCAGAUGUGAUUCCAGUCUCUGCGCAGGAAGAAUUAACAGGAGAUGGAUGGGCAGCUACCCAUCGAUCAGAAUGGAUCAGGAAGAACAAUACUUGACAGGGAUGAUAAAUGUAGAAGGAUCUGUGUGCUCAGAUCUCUGUUCCAACUGCAAAUCUAAAAAUGUGUGUAGCAAGCCAAUAUACCAAAUCUGUCUGUUUAGAAAAGUGCUGCAGCAACAAUAUUUGAAAAGAAAUACUGGCUACUUUACACUAACUGCAAAGAACAUUUUUAUCUGUAUAAAGUACAGAGCACGUAUUGAUUUGAAGGUUGUUUCUGUGUGUUGCUAGAAAUAAAUUAAAUAUAUUUUAUUUCUGUUUAAUUUAGAUAUCUCAAUACAUCUAAAUAAGCAAGUAUGUAUAUCUGAGCAAUGACCAUCAUGUCUUCAGAUAUAUACAAGAGUGCUGAGAUAGUGAGUGUUACUUAUUUUCAAAGAAUGCAAAGUCUGGAGAGCAGCAUUUCUUGACAGCAGUGUGGAGUAGUGGUUAGGGCUCCGGACUCUUGACCUGGAAGGUCGUGGGUUCAAUCCCAGGUGGGGGACACUGCUGCUGUACCCUUGAGCAAGGUACUUUACCUAGAUUGCUCUAGUAAAAACCCAACUGUAUGAAUGGGUAAUUGUUUGUAAAAAUAAUGUGUAAAAAAUAAUGUAAUUGUAUGUAAAAAUAAUGUGAUACCUUGUAACAAUUGGAUAAGGGCGUCUGCUGAGAAAUAAAUAAAUAAUAAUAAUAUUUUACUCAAUUUAAAUCCAUCUCACAUGUCUGGUGGUACCACAAAUAAUAUUAAUUUUACUAGCAGUGCAGAACUCUCCGGGGACAUUUGUUUUUGUUUGACCCCAAUAAAUGGUUUUCUUCCUUUUUUAACUCCCCAACUGCUACUGUUGUAUAUGUUAAUUAAAAAUCCUAGGGUACCACAUCCAUUUUAACCAUCAAUUAUAUAUAUGUAUAUUUUUUUUUAAGUCUGUGAUUGUAACUGAAGUCACGUGUGCUUAUGCUCCUACUUGCUGGUUGGAAU